UGGGAACAGACAUGUCUUGGAGAGAUGCACCCUGGGAUCUGUCCAGGAUCAGAAACUCCUGGAGCUAGCCCAGCCAGAGGUACUGCUCAAGGACUUGCUCUCCAAAGCUUCCAGUCAUGAAAGUGCUCAGCCCAAGGGCAGGUGGCAUCUCUACUUAACCAUGAGGGAACAGAGGCUCAGCCAGCAUGUUGAGACACCAGAAUUCAAAAGCCCAGUAUCCUCCCAGGACUCCAUCAAAGCAGAUGUGCAGAGGGCAGUAGGGCCUGUGCAGAACCAAUGCCCCUGCGGGAGGCCCACAGGACCGUUAGGAAAAUAAGACAAGCACAGGAAAGAGAUGUCUAGCAUCUGAAGACAAAGUCAAACGAAAGCCACCAUUCUGGGUUUGGGAAUGUAAAGAACUUCAAACCAGAUAAAUGAAGACUGCAGAAGAAAGGGGAAGAAAUGGAAGUUGCUCUCUGACAGGACAACAUGAAUUUGGCAAGGGGUGGAUUAGGCCGAGUGCUAUCCACGGUGAUGAAACGCAGCAGCCGGUGGUCAUGAAAUAUUUAUGAAUGGGGAGAGGCUGCUGCAUUCUGCAGUGCAGCACAGGGGAAAGUGAAGUUUCAAGAAUACUGUAAUAGCAAAACCCUCCAUUAAUUAUCGGAAGCAAGCUGUAAUGCCAGUUCCUAUGGCAACGGGAUCCCCAGUGGAUUUUGUGCUUUUUUUUUUUUUUUUUAAGCUGCUCCCAUUUACUAUGGUAUAUUGCAUUUAUUUUCUACUGGAGGUUUUGUGCUUGUCCUCUGCAAAUGAAUUCAUCCUGUCCUCACAGUGGCUGGUGUGGAGACUGACAGGCUGGGGCCUGGGGAAAGUUAAAGAUUAUGCAACUUUGAGCUAAAUGCUCUGUAAGGACAUUGAUGACUACUAUGAGCACCUUCACUUCUGAGGGCAAAAGGAGGGGAGGGCAAGAAAGAGUUGUGGAAGGGAAUAACUAGGGUGCAUGGCUAAUUAGAGGGCAUCUAUCCCAGCCCCCACAUGCAUGGUCUUUGCGAUCCAGGCUUGCACCAGGGAACAGUCCUUGAACCCAGCUGGGCUCUCCAACAACGUGCCUGCUGCAGCUGCACUGGAAGCUGAUGAUUGCUCAGAAAGCUCAGAGUCCUCUGGGGUAAGGGAGUUGGAGAGAACAGUGGCUUGGUUCCCAGGGGAGCAGGCUGCCCCUCCCAGAGAAGCACUCCACCUGUAGGCCCAAUCUCCCUGCACCCCCACCCCCGACCCAGUGCUUAUCAGUUCCCCCUCGGUGUGAAGUGGGAGUUUAAUGUGGUGGCCCUUUCAAUGCGGCUCUUCCCGGGGAGAUGUUUCUGUGAUUGCCUGGCCAUGGACUGCUGUUCACAGCAACAUUCUGUCUUAGGCCACAGGAGCGCCUCAGAGCCACCGUGGGGUGUGGGCGAAGCAGUCAACAGCGGCUUCCUCUAUCCUGCCCCGGAUGAAUGACCGACAAGUUGACGGCGGAGCACCCCGCCGCUCACUCAGGAAGAGGCUGCCUCCAGGAAAGAUGCAACCUGGGCCAGAGGCCCCUGGAGGCUGUGCCUGACCCCAGACAGAUCACACAAACCCGAGCAGCCAUUAGCAGCUGCAUGGACUCCUUUGCACCGUGGGGCUGCUCCUGGGGUGAAAGAUGUCUUUGUGUGUGUAUGGGCUUCGGGGGCUGGGCUGGCUGACUUGCAAAGGACACGCUGUGGCCCAGCCCUGGGCAGCAUCCAGCCUGCUUAAGUGGCCUUCUGUGGGCUUGGCCAAAGACACUGAGGCCUUUCUCUGUUUCACCUCCUUGUGCCAACUUGGCUGUGUGUGAACAAAGGAAUCACAAGCACACACCUCUCUGAGUUCACACUUCUGUAAAGUUGGACUGAAGAGCUUAGUGAAUCAAAGUUCAAGAAGGGUGACUUGGCCAGACAUGGUGGCUCACUCCUGUAAUCCCAACACUUUGGGAGGCUGAGGGGGAGCAGAUCACUUGAACUCAGGAGUUCAAGACCAGCUUGGGCAACACAGAAAGACCCUGUCUCUACAAAAAAAUUUAAAAAUUAGCUAGGUGUGGUGAGGUGUGCCUGUAUUCCCAGCUACUCUGGAGGCUGAGGUGGGAGGAUUGCUUGAGCCUGGGAGGUUGAGGCUGCAGUGAGCUGUGAUCAUGCCAUUGCACUCCAGCUUGGGUGACAGAGCAGGACCCCAUCUCUUAAAUUUAAAAACAGGAAGAGAAAGGAGAAGGAGGAGGAGGAAGAGAAAGGAGA